GAUGAACGCUGGCGGCGUGCCUAAUACAUGCAAGUCGAACGAGGUGCUUGAGUAGCAAUACAAGAGUAUCCUAGUGGCGAACGGGUGAGUAACGCGUGGGUGACCUGCCCCGAAGUGUGGGAUAACAGUCCGAAAGGAUUGCUAAUACCUCAUGUGGUUAUCGGAUUUAGAAACUGAUAACUAAAGCAGCAAUGCGCUUUGGGAGGGACCUGCGUCCCAUCAGCUAGUUGGUGAGGUAAUGGCUCACCAAGGCUACGACGGGUAGGGGACCUGAGAGGGUGGCCCCCCACAAUGGAACUGAAACACGGUCCAUACACCUACGGGUGGCAGCAGUAGGGAAUAUUGCACAAUGGGCGAAAGCCUGAUGCAGCAACGCCGCGUGUGCGAUGAAGGCCUUGGGUCGUAAAGCACUUUCUGAGAGAUGAGAAAGGACAGUAUCUCAGGAAUAAGUCUCGGCUAACUACGUGCCAGCAGCCGCGGUAAUGUAG
rnacentral:rRNA from 1 species